rnacentral:rRNA from 1 species
CCUACGGGAGGCAGCAGUAGGGAAUAUUGCUCAAUGGGGGAAACCCUGAAGCAGCAACGCCGCGUGGAGGAUGAAGGUUUUACGAUUGUAAACCCCUUUUGUUAGAGAAGUUAAUUACGGUGUCUCACGAAUAAGCACCGGCCAACUCCGUGCCAGCAGCCGCGGCAAUACGGAGGGUGCAAGCGUUAUUCGGAUUCACUGGGCGUAAAGGGUGCGCAGGCGGGUUUGUAAGUCAGAUGUGAAAUGCUGUAGCUUAACUACAGAACUGCAAUUGAAACUAUGAGUCUAGAGUGUGGUAGAGGUAGGUGGAAUUCUUGGUGUAGCGGUGAAAUCCGUAGAUAUCAAGAAGAAUACUCAUUGCGAAGGCAGCCUACUAAAACGUGACUGACGCUCAUGCACGAAAGCGUGGGGAGCAAACAGGAUUAGAUACCCUAGUAGUC